rnacentral:rRNA from 1 species
UCCGGUAACAUUACCUAAGGGGAAACACCCGUUCCCAUACCGAAUACGGUAGUUAAGCCCUUAGAGGUCGAUGGUACUAUAGUCGUAAGGCUAUGGGAGAGUAGAACGUUACCGGGU